CUACGGGUCGCUCCAGUGAGGAAUAUUGCACAAUGGGGGGAACCCUGAUGCAGCAACGCCGCGUGGAGGAUGACGCAUUUCGGUGUGUAAACUCCUUUUAUAUGUCAAGAAAAUGACGGUAGCAUAUGAAUAAGCACCGGCUAACUCCGUGCCAGCAGCCGCGGUAAUACGGAGGGUGCAAGCGUUACUCGGAAUCACUGGGCGUAAAGGACGCGUAGGCGGGCUUGUAAGUCAGGUGUGAAAUCCUACAGCUUAACUGUAGAACUGCACUUGAAACUACGAGCCUAGAGUAUGGGAGGGGGAGAUGGAAUUAGUGGUGUAGGGGUAAAAUCCGUAGAUAUCACUAGGAAUACCUAAAGCGAAGGCGAUCUCCUGGAACAUAACUGACGCUAAGGCGUGAAAGCGUGGGGAGCAAACAGGAUUAGAUACCCGGGUAGUC
rnacentral:rRNA from 1 species